GAGUAUCAAGUUAGCUAAUACACUAAUCACACACAGAAGAUAAACUUCACACAGCAGCAGCACAUAGAAGAUAGCAAACAGCAGCAUAACCUCUUGUUUUAGAGGACCUUCAUCUUCACAGAAAUCUGAAAUCUGUUGUCCUGGGGUACAUUUGUUACUCCCCCUUUUUGUCAAAAAUGUUGCCAAAGCAACACUUAAUAUUACAGACCAACAAAAAUAAAAUUACAAGCAAAUUUCAAGAAUACACACUCUUAAUCUUGCUUUACAACUUUGAUCAAGACUAC
rnacentral:lncRNA from 1 species